GAUGAAGAACGUAGCGAAAUGCGAUAAGUAAUGUGAAUUGCAGAAUUCAGUGAAUCAUCGAAUCUUUGAACGCACCUUGCGCCCUUUGGCCAUUCCGAAGGGCAUGCCUGUUUGAGUAUCAUGAACACCUCAACUCUUUAUGGUUUUCCAUGAUGAGCUUGGACUCUGGGGGUUUUGCUGGCUCACAGUCGGCUCCUCUAAAAUGAAUCAGCUUACCAGUGUUUGGUGGUAUCAUGGGUGUGAUAACUAUCUACGCUUGUGGUUUUUCCACCAGGUAACCUUCAGCAGUGGAGGUUCGCUGGAGCUCAUAGAUGUCUCUCCUCAGUGAGGACAGCCCUUUGAAUGUUUGAUCUCAAAUCAGGUAGGACUACCCGCUGAACUUAAGCAUAUCAAUAAGCGGAGGA
rnacentral:misc_RNA from 1 species